ACUGCAAGAUUCUAAUGGGUUUUCCUCUGCACAUUGACAGUAAAAUUCUCCAAAGAGGACGCCUCUCUUACUACUGAGCCCUAGCAUACUGGAUUUGCAACGCUAACAAGUGAGUGUGAAUUGAAGACGGCCAUGCAUUUUUAAUCAAAAUUAAAUAAAAAUUACUAAGGUCAGCACAUCACCAGUAUCAUAUAAAAAUAAAAAGGGCCAGUUAUCAGAAUACACGAAUUAAUUAAUCAUGGCUCUCUGCUCUUCUUCACAUCCUCCUAUGUUUGAGCCUAGUGGCUGAUAAUUUCCUCUCCCCUCGAUGCGAUCGUGUUUAGAGUGAGCUUCACCCGAUGACGGCGAGGACCGCGGUGUCCCAGUGAUGGAUUCAUUCCCGCCGUUCCUUUUAUUAGGAGCCUUCCCUCAACGGUCACAGCCUCACCAGAGAACAUGGAACGGGGAGACCAAGAGCUGUAAUUUCAUGAGGCAGCGAUGCACUUUAUGUCAUUCUUCAGAGGUUUCCACAUUUCAGCACUCGGAACAACAUCCAAUAUCUGUGUUAUGCUCUCUAAUAGGAAUUACUGUUGGCUAAUAAAAUUCGCUGCAUUGAAGUAUUUCCGCGUAUGGGAAAGUUAACGUGUGAAGGAGUAGUCUUAAUUAAGCAAAUGUUAAACAACCUAAAUUUAACUUGAAUGAAAAUAGUAUAGUUCUGCUCAUAAA